UGUUUACAGGAAAGGUCAGUUAAAUAAUUUCCCUUUAAAAAGUAGUUGUGAUUUUUUUCUUUGAGCAUUAUUUGUACAAAGACUCUCAGACUUACGAACACAAAAUCAUUGUUAAAGACAAACAGGAAGGCUCAUUGUUGACUUGUUCAUCAAAUAUUUCAGCACCUACCAGAUGCAUAGACUGUCAGGAGCUGCAUGGAUGUUGAGGUAGAAUGUAGGCUCUAAGAGGGGAGGAUAGGAGAGGGACUGUCUGCUGUGUUCACUGCUGUAUUUCCAGAACCAGGACAGCGCCUGGCUCAUGAUAGGUGCUGAGGAAAUAUUUGCAGAGUAAAUGAAAAUAUGGUUGCUGUUUUUACCAGUUAGGGACAGGAAUAGUUUCAUCAGUGAGUGACAGAAACUCUAAAAUUACAAUGGCUUAAACUGGAUGGAAGUUUAUUUCUUCUAUAAAGUAAAUCUAGAGAAAAGCAGUCCAGGCUACUAGGGAAGGUUCAAAAUCAUCAGGGCCCAGUUUACCUGUGCCUUACUGCUGUCUGUGCCUUGGCAUGUGACUUUUACUUCAGGGUUCCAGCAGACUGCUUGAGCUCCAACCAUCAUAUCAACAUUUCCAAGAAAAAGGAGAAAAGAAGAGCUCCCUCUCUUAAAAGGCCCUCCCUUGCUUCUUUUUAUCAGGAAUUGAGGAGAACUGCUAAUUCCCAGGAGCUGAGUGGGAGCAGAAGGCUUGAAAGAAGGUCAUCAGAAAAGACACUUAACUGGGACAAGAUAACAAAGCCUUAUUUGCUGAUGAGACAGAUAUUGAAUUACUCAGCAUGCAUGGCAAGAGCAGACAUGUUUUGCUAAAGGAACAUAAAUCAUGGGUGUGUAUGCAUGUGCAUGUUGAUUUAACUUCCAGGAAUCCUGGAGAAGCCCUUUGGCUAUUCUCUCUUUCUCUCCUCUCUCCACCAGAUUUCCUCCUAUCAGUUAGAAUUACCUGCAUCCAACACUGGUUUCCUCUCAUGAUUUCCAUGUUUGAGCACUCAGAAUUCCUUCUGUGCAUGCUGUGUCCAUUCUCAUCCUCAAGUUCCUAU